UGACAGAGCCAGCGAGUUCUUCCUUGGCCGAAAGGCCU
rnacentral:rRNA from 1 species